GUUAUGUCCAAGUAUAUGGGAGCCAAGAUGAAUAAAGCCAUGCAAAAACCCCAGGCAUCUAUAAAUUAGCAGGAAGCUGCACAUGGCCCUUUUUUUCUGACAGCCUCCCAGUCUGACUGGGAAAACAUGCUGCAGAUAGUUACAUGGUUUGUAAGGUUGAAAAAAAGAGGAGUCCAUCGAGUUCAACCUAAAACCCAAUUGUGUUGAUCCAGAGGAAGAAAA